rnacentral:tRNA from 2 species
GUGGGCGUAGCUCAGUUGGUUAGAGCGCCGGGUUGUGGUCCCGGAGGUCGCCGGUUCAAAUCCGGUCGUCCACCC